rnacentral:rRNA from 1 species
CCUACGGGAGGCAGCAGUGGGGAAUAUUGGACAAUGGGGGGAACCCUGAUCCAGCGACGCCGCGUGAGUGAAGAAGUAUUUCGGUAUGUAAAGCUCUAUCAGUAGGGAAGAAAGGAAUGACGGUACCUGACUCAGAAGCCCCGGCUAACUACGUGCCAGCAGCCGCGGUAAUACGUAGGGGGCAAUCGUUAUCCGGAUUUACGGGGUGUAAAGGGAGCGUAGGCGGUUACGCAAGUCUGGAGUGAAAGGCGGGGGCCCAACCCCCGGACUGCUUUUGAAACUGUAUAACUGGAGUGCAGGAGAGGUAGGUGGAAUUCCUAGUGUAGCGGUGAAAUGCGUAGAUAUUAGGAGGAACACCAGUGGCGAAGGCGGCUUACUGGACUGUAACUGACGUUGAGGCUCGAAAGCGUGGGGAGCAAACAGGAUUAGAUACCCUUGUAGUC